rnacentral:rRNA from 1 species
AUUGAACGCUAGCGGGAUGCCUUACACAUGCAAGUCGAACGGAGUGGCGAACGGGUGAGUAAUGUAUCGGAACGUGCCCAGUAGCGGGGGAUAACUACGCGAAAGCGUAGCUAAUACCGCAUACUCUUGGAGCGGCAGAUAUCGGAUUAGACAGUUGGUGGGGUAACGGCUCACCAAGGCGACGAUCCGUAGGUGGUUGGAGAGGACGACCAGCCACACUGGGGAGGAGACGCGGCCCAGACUACUACGGGAGGCAGCAGUGGGGAAUUUGGGACAAGGGGGGAAAACCUGAUCCAGCCAUCGGGCGUGUGCGAUGAAGACCUUCGGGUUGUAAAGCACGUUUUGCAGGAAAGCGGUACCUGCAGAAUAAGCACCGGCUAACUACGUGCCAGCAGCCGCGGUAAUUC